GAGAGAGGGAACACAAGCAGGGAAGCAGGCUUCCUGCUGAGCAGAGAGCCCAGUGCGGGGCUGGAUCCCAGGACCCUAGGAUCCUGAUCUGAGCUGAAGGCAGACACUCCUAAUUUUCCAGAUUUUUAUUGAUCCUACUCAUUUAUUUGACACAGAGAGAGGAAUACAAGCAAGGGGAGUGGGAGAAGGAGAAGCAGGCUUCCUACUGAGCAGGGAGCCCAAUGUGGGACUUAAUCCAAGGACCGUGGGACCAUGACCUGAACCGAAGGCAGACCUUUCACCACUGAACAACCCAGGUACCCCUUAAGACAGCUUCUAGUUUUUGUCAACAACUGGAAUCCUCUUCCCUAAAUGUGAUGAUUGCUACUGACACCACAAUCAUUAUCAACCUAUACCUGCCAUGAAUGUACCAGGUACUGUCUUUGGGAUGAAUAGCCUAGGCAGGGAGCAAAGCACUCCACAGAUAUUAUCUUGUUUUAAUCCUCAAAACAAGUCUUUGUUGUAUGUAUUAUCAUCUUCACAUUACAAAAUAAAUGCUUUAAAUACUAUGCAUACUACUUUUUGUAAUGAAAAACUCCACAGUUAGUAGCCACCUCCUCCAUGAAGAUUUCCUAACUUCCUUUUUUAAUGCUACCAUAAUUUUUUGAUUACAUAAACAUUUUUUUUUUAUUUGAGUAUAGUUGACACACAAUGUUACAUUUGUUUUAGGUGUACAACAUAAUGGUUCAACAUAUACAUUAUGCUUUGCUCAUAAGUGUAUCUACCAUCUGUCACCAUACAAUGCUGUUACGAUAUCAUUGAUUAUAUCCCCUAUGUUGCCCCUUUUAUUCCCAUGACCUAUUAUUCCAUAACUGAAAGGCUGUAUCUUCCACUCCUUUUCAUACAGUUUGACCUAUAUCAUCCCCCUUCCCUCUGGCAACCAUAGUUUGUUCUCCAUAUUUAUAAGCCUGGUUCUGCUUUUUGUUUGUUUAUUUGUUUUAUUUUUUUAGAUUCCACGUAUGAUGUGAAAUCAUAUAGUAUUUGUCUUUUCAGUCUAACUUAUUCCACUUAACAUAAUACCCUUUAGGUCCAUUCAUGUUGCAAAUGGCAAAAUCUCAUCUAGAUAUAUGUCCUAAGGCAAGAAAAACAAAAGCAAAAUAAACUAUUGGGACCACAUAAAAAUAAAAAGUUUCUUCACAGCAAAGAAAACAAUCAACAGAACAAAAAGGCAACCUACCAAAUGGGAGAAUAUAUUUACAAAUGACCUAUCUGAUAAAAUAUUAGGUUUCAAAAUAUAUAAAGAACUUAUACAACACCACACCAAAAAAGCCAAUCUGAUUAAAAAAUGGGUAGAGGACCUGGAUAGACAUUUUUCCAAAGAAGACCUACAGAUGGCCACACACAUGAAAAGAUGCUCAACAUCAUUCAUCAUCAGGGAAAUGCAAAUCAAAACCACAAUGAGAUAUCACUAUAGACCUGUCAGAAUGGAUAAAAGAAAAAAGAGAAGAGGUAACAAGUGUUGGUGGGGAUGUUGGGGAAAAAAAUAAUUAUGCAUUAUUGGUGGGAAUAUAAAUUGGUAUGACCACUAUGGAAAAUAGUAUGGGGAUUCCUCAAAAAGUUAAAAUAGAAAUACCAUGCAAUCCAGUAAUUCCACUGCUGGAGAUUAACCCAAAGAAAAUGAAAAGGCUAAUUGAAAAAGACAUAUGCACUCAUAUGUUUGUUGUAUUACUUACAAUACCCAAGAUAUGGAAGCAACCUACGUGUCCAUUGAUAGAAGCAUGUAUAAGGAGAUGUGGUAUAUACACACACUUCCACAUGCAUAAUGAGAUGAUUGCAUAGUUUUAAAAACUAGAUUCACACUGCAAUUUUUAUUAAUUAAAUCCAUUGAUAGGUUUGAUUCCACAACAGUAUUUGGGAAUAAUGAAGAAGGAUAUUGAAACAAAACAAAAUUCAUGCCCCACUUUUUAUUAAAUAUAGUUUAUUUUGCCCAGAAUAUAUUGGUAGCAAAAUAAUGCCAGAAGGGCAAAUAAGAAUAAUUGGGGUGGAGAAGAGAUUGCUAUAAGCUUAUAGAUGAAUGAAAAGGAAUUUUUCAUUUAGAUUAAGAGUCAUGAGAGGCAUAUUAAAAACAAAACCAAAAAAAACCCACCUAAGAAGAAUAAACCUAAUCUCUAAAUAGUAGAAUGAAGGUUUCAUUCAACUUUC